rnacentral:ncRNA from 2 species
UGGAACUGCCGGGGGAGCCUGUACAGGCUGAGAGUGCGUUCGGCGCAGACCCCUUGAACCUGAUCCGGGUAAUACCGGCGAAGGGAGGGCGUUUUCGAACCGU